AAAAGAAAAAGUGCAUGAGGUCCAAGAGGUUAGAUCGAAGUUAUCAAGAAGGCCAAAAAUUUUCAAAAAUUAUAGAAAAAAUUUCAUGAAAAAUUCAAUCCCGGAGAGGAUCUUGGAGCUAAUUUUCUUGGACAAGUGGAAAGAGGAGACACCCCCAAAAGAAGAGGGCAAAUUUUUUUGUAAAGAAAAAACUGGCCACUCACUGCUGGGUGGCCCCCAGGUUUUUGGAGCUUAGCUAUUUAGUUAUUAAAACUAAUUAGAAUUAAGUAAACAAAAGCAGAAACCCAAAUUGCCGCUAGCUCAGUGAUCUCAUUUGGGCCAAGUUCACCCCAAUUGCCCGCAGUCCGACAACAUAAAAUACUAACAUCGAUUACGGUCGUCUCACAACACUAAACUCUCUGCGAUCACUAACAAAAUGUAAACAAACAAAGAGAGGUAAACAUUCAAAUACAAGGCGGCGGAAAUUUGGAUCUUUGGGUGGCCAUCGGUGUUAUUGGCCACUGCGUACCCACCCAACCUAGGAUGCCCGAAUCAAUCAACCGCCGUAUCAGUAUAUUUAGCGGUCAAAGCUAAAUUUAAGAACAAGGAAUGGACACUCUCCGACAAAAAUGUUCUGCCACCCUUGUAUCGGCAGAACUCUCUGGGUUACGCGGCUUAAAUUAAGGUCACCUAAUCCUGAGGAGCUCCAAGGGAAAAGGAGGGACGCCGAAAGCAACCGUCGAUCAAGGGUGAAUCUUUGGAAGGACGCACAAUAGACUUAACAAUAUAAGGAAGUGGUGGGUUUGGGCUCGGCCCACCAGGAAAUCGCACCACCAGGAACUCGGAGGCUUAUGGAAUUUGGCUGGCCAACCUCGUGGUACCAACCGCUCGCGAGGAAAACUGGCCACUAUCGGAGGCACCACGACACGGAACGGACUCACCGGAGAUCUGGAGUCCGAGAAUGUUGACUGGGUCGCUGAUGAUUCCCUCACUCUUGCGUAAGCCGACUUCGUUUCCUCCAGAAAAAUUAUUUGUACGAAAACGGCGUAUCUUCCAAAUUGAUUAUCUCCAAUCAGGGAAAAUGUGGAUCUCCUCCAAAAUAAAUUAUACUGAGGCUACUCCAAAAUGAACGUGGUACUCGCAAUAAUAUGUAGCUUCUCCAAAAAUAUAUUAUGUAAUCCAAAAAAGCUCCUCCUGGAAUCGACUCCAACUGCAACAUCAACCAAGGAUUUCGAGAGGUGCUACAACGAGGUUUUGCGAAACGACGAAAUACUUGGUAGCUUUGGAGGAGACCAGGAAUACAGGCAGUUCGUACGGCGCCCAACGCGGGGCCCACGCUUGCCGGGAAGUUUUGCGAUCGAUUUUCGUGCUCUCGUUUAAUUUGUGUACCCAUUUCAGCUCACAACUGGAUGUCUGUGCCGUGGUACCCCGCCAGACUGCGACUCUGGACUGACGAACGUGGCACCACUCCUUGGCUCGACCGCUCCUACUGUGGGGAGAUGAAAUCAACGUCGCCGGUGGACUUCCGACCAUAGUACGCCUACGCAUCGCCAAAAAUCUUCCUAAUUUCCGCCCCUCUCGCAGCCGCUCGUCAACUGGUCUAGCUAUCACUUUAAGUGAUAGCUGCCAGUUAAGGACUCCAGCCGCUCCUGGACUGCUGUUGGUUUUCUUCCUCAUCUGCAGUUUCCAUCGCAAAUCGAGGGACUCGUGCAUCGCGUGUACUUUCAACGGGCCACGAGUACCAAUUAAGUUGUUAAAACCGACAGGAAAUUGGAAACCCACAGACGGAAGAAAAACCCAGGAAUCCACCUCAAAUUACUCUCAGACAACAAAAAAUAUAUACAAAUAAAUAAAUUAAUGGCGCCCAAUUUAAAAAAAAAAAA